GUCCGUAACGAGCGCAACCCUUGUCCUUAGUUACCAGCACGUUAUGGUGGGCACUCUAAGGAGACUGCCGGUGACAAACCGGAGGAAGGUGGGGAUGACGUCAAGUCAUCAUGGCCCUUACGGCCUGGGCUACACACGUGCUACAAUGGUCGGUACAAAGGGUUGCCAAGCCGCGAGGUGGAGCUAAUCCCAUAAAACCGAUCGUAGUCCGGAUCGCAGUCUGCAACUCGACUGCGUGAAGUCGGAAUCGCUAGUAAUCGUGAAUCAGAAUGUCACGGUGAAUACGUUCCCGGGCCUU
rnacentral:rRNA from 1 species